UUGCGCAGCACAGUCGUACAAUUGUCGCUGUUGCGAUUUCUAGAUCAUCGAUAGUGACCUAUAAACCAUUGCAAGAAAUGCGAGGACAUGCAGUUCUGGUCCGAAUAUAGGCAAAACACAUCCAUUCAGGGAAAUAUAUAAUUUUCGAAAGUUCGUCCGAUUAUUCGUAAAUAAGUUUCAAUGGAAAUUGGAAGCACUAUUUGGCGACGUAGAACUUGGGAGAAAACCCAAAAACUUAAGGAAUGUUCGGGUACUACUAGAAAUGGACCAUUUGAUCGAUGGCAAAAGCUUUGCGAAAUGCAAAGAAAUCAUUAUUUGAUUCCUUAUCGCCUGCCAAAGCGAAUUUCUCUUUCUUUAACCUGGAAACGGCGAAAUUGAUUUACAGGUGAUAAAGAACUGUCAAGACAUUGAAAAGUACCGGCUGAUAUAUCGAGACGUUCAUAGGUUGUUAUCGAAUACCCACAUAUAGCGUUGCAUGACUUGACAUGACGCGAGCAAUUACAGUCUAGAAACUUUAUGAUAAUGGCGGGAACUCGACGUACAUGGGCGCUCUUUUAGCUGAGAAGAACGUCGUAUAUAACUCUCCGUUGAAGCCAAGCAACAGCGGAUGAUAUCAACAGGUAGCAUUCUCUCGUACGAAAAGAAUCAACAGUACAAUCAACACGAAAAUGAUCAAAGUACAGGUGUGUGUUCCGAGGCGCUUCCUAAACACAACAGCAUCU